rnacentral:rRNA from 1 species
AUGCCCUCAUCCGCCCAUUCACCCCCGGCGGCUCCAGGAGGGGACCACAACCGCAGGCACCGGUGGCGGCACGCCAUCCACACUACGCUCGUGCUGCACUGGCGGUCCCUUCAGGUCCGAGCCCAAGUAGGCGCCGUCGGUCGCGGCGGCCAGGCCGCGCCUCCCCUUCCACAGGUCCCGAGAUCCGCCGACAUCAACCCCGUCGUCCAGCAUCGGGUGCCUAAGAUCGGCACACCUCCUCCCAAUCGUCCCGGACCAGCGCCAUGGCAACGAGCGUAUCCCCCUACCCUGACCUUCAACUUCAAUGGCAGAUCCCACCAUGACUUGGCAGCACCGUUGGUGGAACCAGCGUCCCUAGGUGAGCAAUCAUCCAGAUGGCCGUCACGCUUCCGCCCAGCAGGUAGAGGAGUAGAGGCGUUGUUUCCACGGGGCGGUAGUGAGGUGUUGUUGAUUAGAGCACCAUCAGCAGUUCUUGAGCACCAUGGCAAUGCAAAGAGAGGGGGAAGGAGCUGA